GUCAGCGCCCGGCUGCUCCUCUGCACAGCGGACGGUUCCCCAGCCCGCGCCCCCCAGUCUCCCUAAAAGCUGUGUGCGGUGUGCAGAUUCGAGCUCGAAUUCUCCGCGCUCUAUCACGCCCCUGUCCUAACUUGAAGGGCUACGAGAAGGGCAGGACGAGCGUCUAGACGGGCACGUCCCCUCAGUGAGUUUACACGACUUGCUAGUCCCUACUGCUCUCUCCCUACAUGCGAUAAAGGGCAAGAGUACACAAUAUCGGGCUGCAGUUUCAGAACUGACCUUUCUCCGUUCUGAAAACCAGUGCAUGUGCGCGCCGCCGGGCACCAGCCCUUGGGCGAGUCCCAGCUUACUCCUCCUCCGGGGAAGGGGAAGCCUGGGCCACCGGGCUCCGCGACCAGCUAGCGACAGCUGCCCCAGGUGUCGAAGUGUGCAUGAGGACCCCAGUUCUACUAGUCUUUCGAAAGACGUUAAGUAAGGUGCCUAAGUCAACACAGCAUUGGAAGUCAGGUGGAAGGCAGGUCUCUAUGUCUCCAGAGCCUGCAAACUGAAGUGUAUGCGUAGUGGUUGGAGAAACUAAGAUCUGGGGGUGUGAAUUCAACAUCACUCCAGAGUCGCCUGCCUGCGCGGACGGCACAUUGAACCAGACUCUGAAAUCCCCCUGGGGCCGAAGCUGCCCGCAGUCGCUCCAGGAAUAAGUGGACUUACUGUGGCACCUGCGGAAAUGGAACUAACAUGGUGAUUGAACCAACAACAACAAUAAUACACAAUCAGAAGACGGAUAAGAUGAUUGGAGUCCGAGGGGCAGUCCUGGUGAUACCAUCUACGGCCUAACAGCAUGUUUGCAAAAGCACAGUCAGCUGGUAUGAAAUCAGGAUGUUCCAACAUUCAAAUAAGAAAGCAAGAGAUGGAGAGAAUGCGGCUUCAUGAGGACACAGAACAAGUCGGCGGUGGCGACGGGGCACAGAGGAGGGAGAACAAAGUCGGCCGGCGGUGAGGGAACACCACCAGAGGGCGCAACAAUCGUGAGUGAGGACAGGCUCCUGAGUGAGAGAUGGCUUUGUUCCUCUCGCGCCCACCUGCCGUCUUGUGCCUUCAGGUUCCGCUGGACGCGCCCGGCGCAAGGCCUGCCUCUUCCGCCACAGGACACCGCCACGCCGUGUCCACCAAAGUACUGAGUGAGGAAAGUGGGGGGCGUGAGGGGCUCACCUACCAGAAAACGAACGCGGUGUUGGAAAGAGAAUGCAGAUUUUAGGUUCUUUAUGCCAAGGACUCCUUAUCACAGUGAUAAAAACCGUAUAAACUAACAGAUUCAGUGGUGAAAAUGCCAAAGAAAGAAUAAGGUAAAACAUUAAAAUUCUGAAUAAAAUUUUCAGAUUGUCCUACUAAUAA